UGGAUCCAGACUUUGAUUCUGGCUCAGGAUGAACGCUAGCUACAGGCUUAACACAUGCAAGUCGAGGGGAAACGACAUCGAAAGCUUGCUUUUGAUGGGCGUCGACCGGCGCACGGGUGAGUAACGCGUAUCCAACCUGCCCACCACUUGGGGAUAACCUUGCGAAAGUAAGACUAAUACCCAAUGACGUCUCUAGAAGACAUCUGAAAGAGAUUAAAGAUUUAUCGGUGAUGGAUGGGGAUGCGUCUGAUUAGCUUGUUGGCGGGGUAACGGCCCACCAAGGCAACGAUCAGUAGGGGUUCUGAGAGGAAGGUCCCCCACAUUGGUACUGAGACACGGUCCAAACUCCUACGGGAGGCAGCAGUGAGGAAUAUUGGUCAAUGGACGAGAGUCUGAACCAGCCAAGUAGCGUGCAGGAUGACGGCCCUAUGGGUUGUAAACUGCUUUUAUAAGGGAAUAAAGUGAGUCUCGUGAGACUUUUUGCAUGUACCUUAUGAAUAAGGACCGGCUAAUUCCGUGCCAGCAGCCGCGGUAAUACGGAAGGUCCGGGCGUUAUCCGGAUUUAUUGGGUUUAAAGGGAGCGUAGGCCGGAGAUUAAGCGUGUUGUGAAAUGUAGACGCUCAACGUCUGCACUGCAGCGCGAACUGGUUUCCUCGAGUACGCACAAAGUGGGCGGAAUUCGUGGUGUAGCGGUGAAAUGCUUAGAUAUCACGAAGAACUCCGAUUGCGAAGGCAGCUCACUGGAGCGCAACUGACGCUGAAGCUCGAAAGUGCGGGUAUCGAACAGGAUUAGAUACCCUGGUAGUCCGCACGGUAAACGAUGGAUGCCCGCUGUUGGUCUGAAUAGGUCAGCGGCCAAGCGAAAGCAUUAAGCAUCCCACCUGGGGAGUACGCCGGCAACGGUGCA
rnacentral:rRNA from 2 species